CAUACACAAUAUAGUUAGGUCCUCUAAAGGUAUCAGAUCCCAUCUGAUCUUGGAUGCUAAGCAGGAAAAACCCAAGUUAAUACUUUGAUGGGAGAUUGCCAAUGAAUAUCAGGUGGUGUAUGA
rnacentral:rRNA from 11 species